rnacentral:lncRNA from 1 species
AUGCUGCUGCUUUCAGUACUAUGGAGGAAAUAUAUAGUAUAUAAUAAAUGUGCAUUGACAGCAGAAGCACAGAUGUGUCUCACAGUGGGUGCUGAGAGUGAAAUUGAACCAGCCAUUAUAUUCUGGUGAGGAGGAGUACUGUAAAUCUUCUGUCGAUCUUUACAAGCUUGUACCAUCCACUCCUAGUGUGUGGAUGCCUUGUGCUGGUGAGAAGUUUGGGAAGCAGAUGGAAUGCAGCCCUCAUGACACUGUGGUGCAGCCAGACCAGUCGGUAAAAUUGCUGAGUGUUGGAUGAGACUGGCGUGUGGAUGAGAGUGAGCUGAAUUAAAGCUGAGGAAGCUGAACUCGGAGGAGAUGCUAGCUGGCAGCGUGAAUUGAAGAGGAUCUGCUAGGUGUAACACCAGAUGCUGUGGCCAAGUGCUGAGUGCCCUCUGUCAAGUGUGGUCUGAAUCCGGGCCUGUGAUGACUCCUACCUGCUACUGGACAGCAGUGGCCACCAGAAUUCCUGUUUGGCCAGUUGGCCUGUGUUACUGUACCUUGGCAGAGCUCUGAACAAGCUCAUACAGUUCAUCUUUUAAUGUUUGUUUUUCCAUGAGUUCUUUAGGGUUAAUCUAAUUAGUGUAAUUACUUCUCUUCAAAUCGGCAGGGUCUGCAGCCUGAGUAUUCAUACUGUAGGAGAUAAUGGAUUAUGAAUCACUAAAUUAUCUAAAUACCUAUGAAGAAGCUAUAGACAAGAAUGAAUGCUGUUUGUUUUUGAUUCUCUUCAGGAGCUAUUCAAGUUGUCAUUAGUUUUUCUCCCAAGUAUUCACUGUACUGGAUUUGUUCAGUCUUUCUCCUGAGACUCUCACCACGAAGUGUAUAACCUAGCAAUAUAUGUGCUAUGUUUCAUGAUGGCUUUGUCACAAAGAAACAAUUCACACGAGUUCAUGACAGUCAGAAUGUGUUGGAUGCUGCCUUUCAUUGGGGAAAAAAUGACAGCAUGCCUGUAUGUUCCAUCUAAAGAAUGUGUUUAAAAAUAGUAAGUGGUUCUAGAGAAUUUCCAGGCUCACAGAUAGCAGACAUGCUACAGUUUAUCUCAGUUUCUAGAGGAGCACCAUCUGAGUGCUGAACUGAACUUUGGUCAAGAUAA